rnacentral:rRNA from 1 species
GAGUUUGAUCAUGGCUCAGAUUGAACGCUGGCGGCAUGCCUAACACAUGCAAGUCGAACGGCAGCACAGCACGGGGCAACCCGUGUGGGUGGCGAGUGGCGGACGGGUGAGUAAUGCAUGGGAAUCUACCCAGUAGCGGGGGACAACCCGGAGAAAUCCGGGCUAAUACCGCAUACGCCCUAAGGGGGAAAGCGGGGGACCGAAAGGCCUCGCACUAUUGGAUGAGCCCAUGUCGGAUUAGCUAGUUGGUAGGGUAACGGCCUACCAAGGCGACAAUCCGUAGCUGGUCUGAGAGGACGAUCAGCCACACCGGAACUGAGACACGGUCCGGACUCCUACGGGAGGCAGCAGUGGGGAAUAUUGGACAAUGGGGGCAACCCUGAUCCAGCAAUGCCGCGUGUGUGAAGAAGGCCUGCGGGUUGUAAAGCACUUUCAGUGGGGACAAAAAGCGCCGUGUUAAUACCGCGGCUUUUGAUUUAACCCAUAGAAGAAGCACCGGCUAACUCUGUGCCAGCGGCCGCGGUAAUACAGAGGGUGCGAGCGUUAAUCGGAAUUACUGGGCGUAAAGCGCA